CAGCAGCCGCGGUAAUACGUAGGGUGCGAGCGUUAAUCGGAAUUACUGGGCGUAAAGCGUGCGCAGGCGGUUCGUUAAGACAGAUGUGAAAUCCCCGGGCUUAACCUGGGAACUGCAUUUGUGACUGUAUAGCUAGAGUACGGCAGAGGGGGAUGGAAUUCCGCGUGUAGCAGUGAAAUGCGUAGAUAUGCGGAGGAACACCGAUGGCGAAGGCAAUCCCCUGGGCCUGUACUGACGCUCAUGCACGAAAGCGUGGGGAGCAAACAGGAUUAGAUACCCGCGUAGUCCCUGUCUCUUAUAC
rnacentral:rRNA from 1 species